rnacentral:lncRNA from 1 species
AAAAAACAGAAUACCUCAAAUGAUUCCUUCGACUCCAGGAUUUUAUUUUCAAUGAUAUAAUACGUAUGAGUGAAGAGAAACUCUGGGAGUUAGUGAUGGACAGGGAGGCCUGGCGUGCUACAGUCCAUGGAGUCGCAAAGAGUUGGACAUGACUGAGUGACUAAACUGAAUUGAACUGAAGAGGAAAACCUACUGACAAGCUGGAGCCUUGCUGCUCUGGGGACGUCUGCAAGCCUGACAGAUGGCCUGGGUCCUGCCUGAAUUACCACACACCACCUCUCCUUCUGGACCGCACAGCAUAAGACAAAAUAACAUUACUCACACCAGGAGAGGAGACAAAGACAGUACUGAAUCAAGUUCGUAUGAUGAAGAUGGAAUCAAGAUUGCCCAGAGAAAUAUCAAUAACCUCAGAUAUGCUGAUGACACCACUCUAAUGGCAGAAAGCAAAGAGGAGGUAAAGAGCCUCUAGAUGAAGGUGAAAUAAGAGAGUGAAAAAGCUGGCUUAAAACUCAGCAUUCAAAAAACUAAGGUCAUGGCAUCCAGUCCUAUCACUUCCUGGGAAAUAGAUGGGGAAACAAUGGAAACAGUGACAUUUUCUUUUCUUGGGCUCCAAAAUUACUGCAGAAGGUGAUGCAGCCAAAAAUAAAAGAUACUCACUCCUUGGAAGGAAAGCUAUG